rnacentral:rRNA from 1 species
UACGUGGGGUGCAAGCGUUGUCCGGAAUUAUUGGGCGUAAAGAGCUCGUAGGCGGCCUGUUGCGUCCGCUGUGAAAGCCCGGGGCUUAACCCCGGGUCGGCAGUGGAUACGGGCAGGCUAGAGGUAGGUAGGGGAGAAUGGAAUUCCCGGUGUAGCGGUGAAAUGCGCAGAUAUCGGGAGGAACACCGGUGGCGAAGGCGGUUCUCUGGGCCUUACCUGGCGCUGAGGAGCGAAAGCGUGGGGGAGCGAACAGG